rnacentral:lncRNA from 1 species
GCAAAGUGAUCCAAAUGUCCACUUGCAGAUUCUACAAAAGGAGUGUUUCCAAACUGCUCAACCAAAAGAAAGGUUCAACUCUGUGAGAUGAACGCACACAUCACAAGGAAGUUUCUCAGAAUUCUUCUGUCUAGUUUUUAUGUGAAGAUAUUUCCUUUUCCACCAUAGGCCUCAAAGCGCUCCAAAUGUCCACUUGCAGAUACUACAAAAACAGAGUUUCAAAACUGCUCAAUCAAAAGAAACGUUUAACUCUGUGAGAUGAAUGCACACAUCACAAAGAAGUUUCUCAGAUUGCUUCUGUCUAGAUUUUAUGUGAAGAUAUUUCCUUUUCUACCAUAGACCACAGAGCGCUCCAAAUGUCCACUUGCAGAUUCUACAAAAAGAGAGUUUCAAAACUGCUUAAUAAAAAGAAAGGUUUAUCU